GUAAACUUUGAAACACAUUGAAGAUAAAAGAAGAGUUGUUUAUGAGCCAAUGAUGAAAGUGUAUAAAGGGGCACAGGUAUUUUGCAAUAUCCAUCUGGAGAUCUCAUUAAAAUUUGAAAGCACCUUGAAGAGAACAGCUUUAAAAUAAGAAGGAUUGGCUGAGCUUGAGUGAUGUUGAUAUUGGACUAUCAUUUCCUGCAGAGAGAAGAGUGGCUUAUGUGGUGAAUCUUCUUUCCUACAUACAUUUGCUAAAAUGCUUCCCGCACAUGCAUUUUGCAGGAUUCUCAUGAGAAAAGUUUAAUGUGGCAUUUUGGUUAUUCUGCAGCUUCUGGCCAUGAACCUUUGCAUAUUAUUCUCUCCUACCGACAACUGCCUAGGGGAGAGUGGGGGAGAGAUCUGUGGGCACCGAAUGGCCACAUCCC
rnacentral:lncRNA from 1 species